UCUCAGUACAAGCCAAAUUAAGGUGAAACCGCGAAAGGCUCAUUAAAUCAGUUAUGGUUCCUUAGAUCGUACCCACAUUUACUUGGAUAACUGUGGUAAUUCUAGAGCUAAUACAUGCAAACAGGGCUCCGACCGGAGACGGAAGGAGCGCUUUUAUUAGAUCAAAACCAAUCGGUGGCGGGUCCGCUCGUCAUCGUAUAACUUGGUGACUCUGAAUAACUUUAGGCUGAUCGCACGGUCUAGCACCGGCGACGCAUCUUUCAAAUGUCUGCCUUAUCAACUGUCGAUGGUAGGUUCUGCGCCUACCAUGGUCGUAACGGGUAACGGGGAAUCAGGGUUCGAUUCCGGAGAGGGAGCCUGAGAAACGGCUACCACAUCCAAGGAAGGCAGCAGGCGCGCAAAUUACCCACUCCCGGCACGGGGAGGUAGUGACGAAAAAUAACGAUACGGGACUCAUCCGAGGCCCCGUAAUCGGAAUGAGUACACUCUAAACCCUUUAACGAGGAUCAAUUGGAGGGCAAGUCUGGUGCCAGCAGCCGCGGUAAUUCCAGCUCCAAUAGCGUAUAUUAAAGUUGUUGCGGUUAAAAAGCUCGUAGUCGAAUUUGUGUCCCGCGCCGCCGGUUCAUCGUCCGCGGUGUCAACUGGCGUGUCGCGGGACGUCCUGCCGGUGGGCUUAGCUCUUCGGGGCGGCCCAACUCAAUCCCGCCGCGGUGCUCUUCACUGAGUGUCGAGGUGGGCCGGCACGUUUACUUUGAACAAAUUAGAGUGCUUAAAGCAGGCUAAAACUUCGCCUGAAUACUGUGUGCAUGGAAUAAUGGAAUAGGACCUCGGUUCUAUUUUGUUGGUUUUCGGAACCCCGAGGUAAUGAUUAAUAGGAACGGAUGGGGGCAUUCGUAUUGCGA
rnacentral:rRNA from 1 species